UCCGGCUUAUCACCGGCGGUUUCUUUAGAGUGCCCAACUAAAUGAUGGCAACUAAAGACGAGGGUUGCGCUCGUUGCGGGACUUAACCCAACAUCUCACGACACGAGCUGACGACAGCCAUGCAGCACCUGUCACUCAUCCAGCCGAACUGAAGGAAACCAUCUCUGGAAUCCGCGAUGAGGAUGUCAAACGCUGGUAAGGUGGGGAUGACGUAGCUAAGCCUUC
rnacentral:misc_RNA from 1 species